UACGGGGGGAGCAAGCGUUGCUCGGAAUUACUGGGCGUAAAGGGAGCGUAGGCGGAUAGUUUAGUCAGAGGUGAAAGCCCCAGGGCUCAACCUUGGAAUUGCCUUUGAUACUGGCUAUCUUGAGUACGGAAGAGGUAUGUGGAACUCCGAGUGUAGAGGUGAAAUUCGUAGAUAUUCGGAAGAACACCAGUGGCGAAGGCGACAUACUAGGUCCGUUACUGACGCUGAGGCUCGGAAAGCGUGGGGAGCAAACAGG
rnacentral:rRNA from 1 species